rnacentral:rRNA from 1 species
GAUGAACGCUAGCGCUAGGCUUAACACAUGCAAGUCGAGGGGCAGCAUGGUCUUAGCUUGCUAAGACUGAUGGCGACCGGCGCACGGGUGCGUAACGCGUAUGCAACUUGCCUCACAGAGGGGGAUAACCCGUCGAAAGACGGACUAAUACCGCGUACACUUGGGAUAGGGCAUCCUGACCCAAGGAAAUGAAAUUCGCUGUGAGAUAGGCAUGCGUCCCAUUAGCUAGUUGGUGAGGUAACGGCUCACCAAGGCGACGAUGGGUAGGGGAACUGAGAGGUUGAACCCCCACACUGGUACUGAGACACGGACCAGACUCCUACGGGAGGCAGCAGUGAGGAAUAUUGGUCAAUGGGCGAGAGCCUGAACCAGCCAAGUCGCGUGAAGGAUGACUGUCUUAUGGAUUGUAAACUUCUUUUAUACGGGAAUAACAAGAGUCACGUGUGGCUCCCUGCAUGUACCGGAUGAAUAAGCAUCGGCUAACUCCGUG